GUCGAUGUGAGCUCACAUACAUAGUGUUGUUUUGCAUUGUGUCGUUGGAGGGCAGUGGUGAGUUCUGCGCCACAGUGUGGAGUGGUUCACACGGUUAGCUUAAAGUCAUUUGGAUCUCGAUGUCAAAGGUUUGCUGCUUCAUUAACUAUGGCUUUCUCUCUGAUGCCAAUGUGCGAGGGUAUCCACUGUAAGUGGAUAGACUCGUCAUGUUAUGUAUUUGAUGGAGCUAGGAGUAAAUUUGUUGGCAGAAGUGGUGGCGUCCAUCUUCAGAGAAGCUGCAGAGAAGUGAGAGUUGUUAGACAGUGAUAUAGACUGAGGCUUGAUGUGUGUCAAUGUGAAUUGGAUGACGUGGUGAAUGAAAAACACCUCAAGAAUAAGAGAUGGAAAGAGGUGUUGUGUAUCCCUUCCAUACCAGACAAAACGGCACAUCGGUAUUUUUCUUUGGAAAAAUUGCCUAUCAAACUCCAAGCAGACUAGUAAAAACAUAAUGUAUGCAAACCAAAAUAUACUAGAUUUCUAUUGGCACUCCAUCACUCGCAGCUGGAUUCCCAAACCAUUGUCAUGACAGCCAGGAUCCCAAGAUGGUUGCUUGGCUACAGAAGACCAGCAGGCACUGAAGAUGCUGGCCUGUACUUGAGCUAAGAACUCAACAUUGCUGGUCAAGCUGGACUUCUCAUGCAUGCUGUCUACUGGGAAGUGGGGACAAAGGUGCUGCCUAAGAACAACAUUGUCCCUUCUACUCCAUUCUAGUACCAGGAUAUUAUUCUCCAGCCACAGUAAGGUAACCCAUGCUCUUAACUUUUGGGGAAAUACGUUGUGGAGAGAGAUGCCCAGCUUUCUCUCUUCCCGGUGUGGUGAGAGGGACAGCCUUCACCAACGUGACCAUCACUACUGGGGAGUGGACAAGUUCCCAUUGUUGGCCAUUGUCCCAACCAUCAGUGGAUGUUCUUUGCAGGCUGCUUGCCAAGGUGGAAACUCUCACCUUUCAGAUAUUGUCAUAUUGAAAGAGACGUCUGCAACCUACCUGACCUCUCCUAAGUCACCAUUCAUGAAGCUGUUGUGCAUUUCUCAACCCUGGAAGAAGUCAAUAGGGAGGGGUCCUCCACCUCGCCACCUGUUGUCUGGAGGAGUGCAGCUAAUGUCAUGGGAGGGGGUAGUUUUUAAAAACACUCGGUUAAGUUUGGUCAAGUUUAAAGUUCUUCAGUUGAUUUUAGUUCUUUGGUUGAUUUUUUUUUUAUUAGUAUUACUGAGUUGGAUGGUAAUUUUGUUAGUGUUUUGCUUACUUUGUUUCUAACUUUAGUUAGUUUAAAAUAAAUAUUUAUCUUUGUGUGUGGUAUGGGUAGCAGCAUUAUUAUUAGCUGGGUUCUAUAAGGCACUGGAAAAUCCCACAACAAAAGAUUAACUUUUAUUUGAUGUAAGUAUCUAUAUAAAAAACAAGGCUUCAUGUUAUUUUUCUCUGAAUGCACAAUGAUUUAUCUAGUAGAUUUUUGUUACCUUGGAGUUGUAAGGAACCCAAAACUAGGAAAAAUGUGAGUAAUUUACAAAAAAAAAGUUAAUUUGAAUGUGUCAGGGGUUAUCUUAAUUUUCAGUAAAUAUCCUAAAGUAGUUAGUGUUAGUGUUAUAUCAAACAAAAUAUGUGUAUCACUGGUGUGUUGACUAAAACAUAAUCCCAAGAGAAUUUACUUACUUAUCUGAUCUGAAUUUUAAGUUUACAUCAUAAAACUAUUUUCCUAAAAUCUAAAUACAGAUAACUGGCCAGGGAAUUUACAUACCAAGCAGUCUGUUAGCAUCUUAGAAAAGUAAUUAUUUUAUAAAAGGCACAAAUGGUUAUCCCCAUAUAGAUAAGUUUUGCAAACAAUUUAAGAUUGUCCUGAUAACAAUUUAAGAUUUUCAGGACAAAGUCAUGUAUCUGUCAGCCAAGCAGUCUGUUAGCAUCUGAUGUCUGUGUCGUGGAGCCAGGCCUUAUAUAGAAUGC